rnacentral:rRNA from 2 species
AGACCCGAAACCCGGUGAUCUAGCCAUGGGCAGGUUGAAGGUUGGGUAACACUAACUGGAGGACCGAACCGACUAAUGUUGAAAAAUUAGCGGAUGACCUGUGGCUGGGGGUGAAAGGCCAAUCAAACCGGGAGAUAGCUGGUUCUCCCCGAAAGCUAUUUAGGUAGCGCCUCGUGAAUUCAUCUCCGGGGGUAGAGCACUGUUUCGGCUAGGGGGCCAUCCCGGCUUACCAACCCGAUGCAAACUGCGAAUACCGGAGAAUGUUAUCACGGGAGACACACGGCGGGUGCUAACGUCCGUCGUGAAGAGGGAAACAACCCAGACCGCCAGCUAAGGUCCCAAAGUCAUGGUUAAGUGGGAAACGAUGUGGGAAGGCCCAGACAGCCAGGAUGUUGGCUUAGAAGCAGCCAUCAUUUAAAGAAAGCGUAAUAGCUCACUGGUCGAGUCGGCCUGCGCGGAAGAUGUAACGGGGCUAAACCAUGCACCGAAGCUGCGGCAGCGAACGUAUCACCCAAGACAACUUUACGGAGUUGACGAUUGACGGAG